rnacentral:ncRNA from 1 species
ACGACCCUGUUCUGUCCGAAGUCUGACGCACCGCGUCAGGUAUUAAUGUAGGCAGAGUGGGGUCUU